AAAAAAAAAAAAGCGUUUUUCUCUCCUUUAGUUAGCAUGCGCACAGUGAAUCAAGUUGUAAAGUGAUCUUUAGGUUAACUGUGAAAAAGAAUGUAUACUGUAUACGUGAAUUACUUUAUUGGGGGAACUAAUGCUAUAUUUUGUUGUUCUUUCACCACUUUGUUCUAUUGUCUAAACCUGGAAGCGGCGGAAGAAAAGUUACAAUAAAGUUUACAAGCGAGAAUUCCGUGACAUCAUUCUUUUCGCCCCUGCUCCGCUUCCUCCUGCGCCCGCUGGGAUGGAAAGGAAAUUUAAAAAAUCAAAUUUGUGCGCGGACAAAAAGGCAAAAGCUCGGCCGGGCCGGGCAGGGCUGGGGAGGGGAAGGGCCCGGGGCUGCUCCUGCUGCUCUCCCUCCUCUUCCUCCCGCUCUGACAGCUCGGGCAGCUCCUGGAGACCCGCUCUGCAGAAAGCAGAGCCGGCAGCUGCUCGGCCCCGCAGAAGCGCCGAACAAGAGACCCCAGCCCCCUUUAUUUCCCCCAACAAGAAAAGCAAAUGCCAGCUCGAUGCUGGAAUAAAUCAGCAGAGAGAGACCGAGAGAGCCUCGCUGGUUUGUCAGCAACGUGCUUGCAACCCCCUCCCCUUCUUCAUGUAUUUUUUUUUUUAUUU